UACAGAGGUCUCAAGCGUUGUUCGGAUUCAUUGGGCGUAAAGGGUGCGUAGGCGGCGCGGUAAGUCGGGUGUGAAAUCUCGGAGCUUAACUCCAGAACUGCCUUUGAUACUGAAGAUCUUGAGUCCGGGAGAGGUGAGUGGAACUGCGAGUGUAGAGGUGAAAUUCGUAGAUAUUCGCAAGAACACCAGUGGCGAAGGCGGACUCACUGGCCCGGUACUGACGCUGAGGCACGAAAGCGUGGGGAGCAAACAGGG
rnacentral:rRNA from 1 species